UCUAAUGAGGAAGGUGAUUCAUCGGAAGUAUAUCUCGUAUAUGAGGAAGGUGAUUCUCGGAAGUGGGUAUUCAGAUAAGAUAUGAACAAGGUGAUUCAAGUUUAACCAGUCAAACCUUAGAAAGCAAAAUUAGAAGAUUUGGUCAGAAUCUUCAGUAAAAAGACCUUGUCAAAAAAACAGAUUUCAGAGCUCGAGGCUCGCAUCUCUCAGCUUGAGGCCUUGUCUAAGUUGGCUUGUGUGCAAGCUCAGUGCAAUGGUUUCAAAAUUCCAUUUAAUCCUUCUUUUCCUCAGAUGACUCUAAAUGAAACCGAUAAAAAGCGCGUUGAGACGUUGAUCAAAUAUUACGAUGAGGUUAUUGGCAUCGGGCAGCAGCUCAUAUGGAUCUUAGAAACUGGAAUGCAGCCAAAACUGACUUGGGCAUGGUGGUGAAGUUGAGACCUGAUAUACCUCACCGCGAUGUAUUUGUUUUUCUAUACAUACACUUGCUAUGUUUCUCAUUAUUUAUCAUUAAACGUAUCAUUGACUAAUUAUUAUUAAUCCAAGAUUUGUACCAGUUUUUAUUUUGGAAUUAUAGACUUGUAUCUUGGAAACACUUAUUCCGGUCUUCAGUUUCUCGCUACCACCGUUCGCCAAUCUGAGCAUCAACAGGUGGUCCCCCUCCAUGGUUGGCAGGCGUUCUCCGAUGAUCAAAUAAUUGAACUUAAAGCACUAAUCUGGAAUAAUACUAAGGAAAAACGAAGAUCUGAAAGCAUACGACAGUUGAGUGCAAAGGUUAAACUUGAUCCCUCUUCCACAAAAGAAGAGCAAGACUUGUUCGCGAGUAUAUUUGAAACUAAAGCACCUUGUAAUAAUACACUUGAGGUUCCUGAAUUCCUCAAUUGCCCAGUUGGGUAUGCAAUGAUGGAUAAGCCAAUGGUUAAUAACCUUGGGAGGUCGUAUGAAUAUGACAAAAUCAAGGAUUACAUAGAUUCUAAGGGUGGCUGCCAAAUCAUUGAUCCCCUCACUAACCAAAUGACAUGGGACUUCUCUUUAAACACUGCUCUCAGAGACAUGAUUAAAUGGUUUAAAUCUGAAAAUGGCUGGGUAUGAAGGAGAAGGAAAUGAGGUCCCGAUGUUUAUAAGGUGAAAGAAGAGAUAUCUUGGUGUUUGUAAUGUUUAUUUUGAUGGAAAAUUAGUUAGAGAUAGAUACUUUCUUUACAAAGAAUCGGUGAUUUUAGUUACAAUGUAGAGCACACUUAUAGCUCACUGCUCAGUUACUAGGGUAUGGUUUUGGUUUGUCGUUAUUACUGUUUAAUGUGACCUUUUGAGUAUUAUAGUAGACUACUUCAAAAACCAAAUGAAACCAAAAACUUUUACAAAAUUUAUUAUCAGGCAAUCGUGCA